CUAAUUAGUUUACAAGGUGCAGUGGCUAGUCUAAACUGUUAUGUCAAACUGUCAAUACCUAGAAUCCAUUUUUUCCCCCUUACAGAAACACUCAACCAAACAUUCAGUGGAAAAAAGAAGAAUGUGAAGGACAACUCUCAUUCAGCUGUUAUUCCUACGCUGUGUAAACUGGGUGACAAAGGAGAGAUGAGAUUAUAUCAGCUUUUUAAUAAGAAAUCUAAGGAGCAUCUUUCUCAGACCACCUCAUGCAGUGCUUCUGGAUUUAAGAACCUAGAAACUGCAGAAAAUGGUGAACCCAGCUAUCCAUGAUGUCUUUCAAUGGAAGCAUUGAAGAUUAACUUGGAGGCUCAACUCCUCAGGCUGGGGACGGAUGAUUCGGAGUGAUUGGUUUCCCGUGGCUCGGCCGUGGCCGCUGCUGUCCCCACGUGCUCCUCGCUAAUCAGCUGCAAGGUGAGAAGUGUUGGCUUAAACCGCCUUCAUGAUUACGAUCUGGAGACAGAAGUUCAAAUAUCAGGUACAUUAAGGCACAGGAUUGAAGGCCACUGGGUUUCCCAUUAGGGAACCUGAGCUGCUCUGUG
rnacentral:lncRNA from 1 species